rnacentral:rRNA from 1 species
ACGUUGGCAACGACGACCCAGUGCCGGAAAGUUCGUCAAACUUGGUCAUUUAGAGGAAGUAAAAGUCGUAACAAGGUUUCCGUAGGUGAACCUGCGGAAGGAUCAUUAACGAUUUCUGACCCUUCGGGGUCGAUCUCCAACCCUUUGUAUACCUUACCUUGUUGCUUUGGCGAGCCGUCGUCGCUCUCCGGAGCGGUGCCGCUGGCCUCACGGCUAGUGAGUGCUCGCCAGAGUCCACCAAAACUCUGAUUUAACCAUGCAGUCUGAGUAAAAAUAUUAAAUAUAUUAAAACUUUCAACAACGGAUCUCUUGGUUCUGGCAUCGAUGAAGAACGCAGCGAAAUGCGAUAAGUAAUGUGAAUUGCAGAAUUCAGUGAAUCAUCGAAUCUUUGAACGCACAUUGCGCCCUUUGGUAUUCCGAAGGGCAUGCCUGUUCGAGCGUCAUUUCACCACUCAAGCCUAGCUUGGUAUUGGGCCAUCGUCUGGUUAAACGGACGUGCCUGAAAAUCAGUGGCGGUGCCCAUCCGGCUUCAAGCAUAGUAAUUUUUAUCUUGCUUUGGAACGUUGGAGGGUACACCCGCCAAAACCCCAAUUUUUUUAAGGUUGACCUCGGAUCAGGUAGGAAUACCCGCUGAACUUAAGCAUAUCAAUAAGCGGAGGAAAAGAAACCAACAGGGAUUGCCUCAGUAACGGCGAGUGAAGCGGCAACAGCUCAAAUUUGAAAUCUGGCCCUUUCAGGGUCCGAGUUGUAAUUUGUAGAGGAUGCUUCGGAAUGGUCCCAGUCUAAGUUCCUUGGAACAGGACGUCGCAGAGGGUGAGAAUCCCGUAUGUGACUGGGUAACCGGCCCAUGUGAAGCUCCUUCGACGAGUCGAGUUGUUUGGGAAUGCAGCUCUAAAUGGGUGGUAAAUUUCAUCUAAAGCUAAAUAUUGGCCAGAGACCGAUAGCGCACAAGUAGAGUGAUCGAAAGAUGAAAAGCACUUUGGAAAGAGAGUUAAAAAGUACGUGAAAUUGUUGAAAGGGAAGCGUUUGCAACCAGACUUGCCUGCAGUUGAUCAACCGGUGUUCUCACCGGUGCACUCUUCUGCAGUCAGGCCAGCAUCAGUUUGGGCGGUUGGAUAAAGGUUGGAGGAAUGUAGCUCCCCCCGGGGAGAACUUAUAGCCUUCGGCGUCAUGCAGCCUGCCCGGACUGAGGACCGCGCUUUUGCUAGGAUGC